ensembl:lncRNA POLR1HASP POLR1H antisense, pseudogene
AAUUGCGAACCGUGUCUCGGGAGCGUUAGAGAUGGAGACUAACGUCUUCCAAGGGAGAUUGCGUCUCCACUUUCACCCUGGUACUGAGAGGUUGAGCACAAAAUUGGAACGCAGUCGCGGGGUAUAUCCCCCUGAAAACCGUACGUUGCCAAAUAAUGAUUUCUUUGGAUUAGAGAACUACAACUCCCCUGGGUCCUGAGCCGGUAUUUCCCUUUUGCGGCUGCACCGUAGUUAAAAACAAAGCUAAGUGUUCUGGGACGUAUAGUUCUAGCGUUCCUUGGGUCCCGCUGGCGAGCGUGGGCUUUCUGCAGCUCGCAACCGGCCUCGUGCUUUGCGGACGGUUCACUGCGCUUGGAAAGGGAUUGGCCUGGGGUACAUCAUCUAAAGAUCCUAGGAUUGCUGCAGGUCAGCAGUCUCCACUGGAAAAAAAGAUCUUGCAUGUAUUUCAAGUCCUCUGAUGAAUCAUGUGAUCUACUAGACCCUGAAGAUACAGUGAAGAGCAAAAGAACACAGAUGAAAUGAGAAACAAAAAUGAUGGAGAAAACCAAAAAAGGGGACACAUGGGAUCCAGGCAAUAGGAGAGCCAGCAUAAGAGAGAGGCAGAGGGAUGCCCAGGAUGAGGUGAAGACGAUCUUGGAAAUCAGCCCAGAUGUGCAUGCACCAGUCCACGUGUGGCAGGACCAAGGGAAGUGUCUUCACAAAGAUGAGGGGUACACUCCUUUGGAAACCAGAACCUCGUAUCCUGCACAGCCCAGUGUUGGGAGAUAAAAUAUGCGAAAUACCCCAUUGAGUGAAUCUAAGAGAUUGGACAUGGAGCCAAACCUGCUUCCGCCUUUUGAUUUCUGGACACACAUGUUCUUCCUAUUGAGAACACAGAACUCUAGAGACGUCUCUGAUUCAAACAAUGCACUGUGUCCUGAAAGAUGGCACCCACCCCUCAGAGUGCUUCCUCCAGGCUGGCACUGAGUUGUGCCUGUAGAAGACCUGUCCAGCCUUCCUUGUGGCUGGCAGCUCCUGGGUAGUGCAGAUGGUGAUAGGAUUAGUGGAACCCACAGCCGUGGAAACACUGAAACUUUCCCUGCAAAGUGGGUCCUUCAGGCAGAUAAUGGGCUAGGAGCACUGCCUAGCCUGCAGACCAGGAAUGUCAACAGCACCCAGAGAGUGGUGCUGGCUGUGUCUGAGAGCAGGACAGGAAAACCCACCCAUAGAAUCGGUACCUAACCCUGUGAAGAUGAAACUCUGGCCCUUCCAGGUUGGAAGUAGCUAAAUGUAGUCAACUUGUUACUUAGUGGGUAGUCAUGUAAAGAAAUAGUGCCCCACUAGGGCACAUCAUGGGCCUCAAUUGCUGAUGAGUUGGACAUUCAGAGGUGGCAGCAGCUGGAUCUGCCUUGGUGUGGGGAAGUCAGUGCUGCUGGCCCCUUACGGAGCCUCAUGCCUGCCACUGUGGUUGCUCCAUUCAUGCACUCAUCCUACCAGGCGUGGGCUGACCCAUGGUGAAAGCUGGCUAACUGCCAUUUGUCUGUUUGGUAGUUCAGUGCCACUUCAGACUUGGGUGUUUUCUGUGGGUGUCAGCAAGGGAUUCAAGCUCAACCCAGGUGGACUGUUUUCACCUGAUGAUGAAUGCUGUUGGGCCUGUACCAUCUAUGACUUUGUGGGUCACACAGGCACUUGGAACCCCGUAGUUGCUUGGUAUCCCGUGGUCAAACAUUCUAUUGAAUCAGGACAAGGAACACUAAAAGUUGCUUCUAACAGGGGGCAUGUGUCUCUGCUGUGGAUGACAUGAUCUUACUCCAGAAUCCCAGGCCCUCCACUGUGACUCUCCCACUGGUGCUUGGUUCAGCUCCAUCCUGUGUCUUUCCCCACCACUGGCACCACCAGCCCCAGGGGUCUGAGGGAUGGUGGCUGCUUGUACCAUGGCCUGGAUCUGCUGCAGGGUCCUUUCCUGUGUAGGCCCCACUUGAAGCUGGCAUCCUCCUAUGUCACCUAGACUGUGGGCCAAAGCAAAAUGUCUAGAUGUGGAAUGUGGUGUUGUUAUAAUUCAAAGAGGCUCACCAAGCAGUGUGCUUCCUUGCUUCUGGUGAGGAUGCAAGAUGCAACAGUUUUUCUUUUACCUUGGAGGGGACACACCUGCAUUCCCCUAAACACUUGGCACUUGUUCACCCAUAAAACUUCACUUCAGUGCCCACCUUUGAAGCUGUAUAAGGUUUAUCUUCACCUUGUGGGGUGCGUGUGUUUUGCAAAGGACUACAGUGCACUUUCUUCCUGCUGCUCAUCUACUCCAGUCAACAUGAAGUUGUCAAUGAAAUGUGCUGAUUUAAUAUCCUAAAGGAUAUGCAGUAUGUCCAGUACAGUCUUAAGCCUAUACUAUAGAGGGCACAGGUGUUACAAUAGCCCUGAGGCAAACAAUAAAUAAAUGUGUCGUUGAUUCCA